UCUCGUCUAUCUGUCUGUGUACUCACUGUCUCACUCUCUCUUGUCCUCACUAUCUCACUGUCGAAAUCUCUACUCUCAAUCUUCAUCGCUUGGUUUCUCUCUAUUACAAUCGGUAAUUCUAGAGUUCCGAUCUAAUUUUCUCAAACUUUUAAUCUGGCGCCUCUCCGUCAACAGCAACCGCAGGGAAGGAUUUGCUGCCGCCGGUAGGACUUGCCUGUCAACAGCAACCGCAUGUACGCCGAGAAGGGAGGAAACUACAAGUGUUAGGCCUACUGAAGGAGAGUAAUCGAAGGAAACCGCGGGAGGAGGUUCUGCUAUUUUUGAAGGGUACUGAAUCUGGAGAUGAAGGCAGCAGUCCAACUGUGAAUUCAAGAAACGCUUGGUAUAUAAAUUCAAAAAAUAGAGAACAACAAAAUCAGAGUGUGUUGCAAUA